rnacentral:rRNA from 1 species
AACCUCCGCAAUGUGAGAAAUCGCGACGGGGGGAUCCCAAGUGCCAUUCUUAACGGGAUGGCUUUUCAUUAGUGUAAAAGACUUUGUUAGUAAGGGCUGGGCAAGACCGGUGCCAGCCGCCGCGGUAACACCGGCAGCUCUAGUGGUAGCAAUUUUUAUUGGGCCUAAAGCGUCCGUAGCCGGUUUAAUAAGUCUCUGGUGAAAUCCUGUAGCUUAACUGUGGGAAUUGCUGGAGAUACUAUUAGACUUGAGACCGGGAGAGGUUAGAGGUACUCCCAGGGUAGAGGUGAAAUUCUGUAAUCCUGGGAGGACCGCCUGUUGCGAAGGCGUCUAACUGGAACGGUUCUGACGGUGAGGGACGAAAGUUAGGGGCGCGAACCGGAUUAGAUACCCGGGUAGUCCUAACUGUAAACGAUGCGGACUUGGUGUUGGGGUGGCUUUGAGCUGCUCCAGUGCCGAAGGGAAGCUGUUAAGUCCGCCGCCUGGGAAGUACGGUCGCAAGACUGAAACUUAAAGGAAUU